rnacentral:rRNA from 1 species
GAUGAACGCUGGCGGCGUGCCUAAUACAUGCAAGUCGAGCGAACAGAUGAGGAGCUUGCUCCUCUGACGUUAGCGGCGGACGGGUGAGUAACACGUGGAUAACCUACCUAUAAGACUGGGAUAACUUCGGGAAACCGGAGCUAAUACCGGAUAAUAUAUUGAACCGCAUGGUUCAAUAGUGAAAGACGGUUUUGCUGUCACUUAUAGAUGGAACCGCGCCGCAUUAGCUAGUUGGUAAGGUAACGGCUUACCAGGGCAACGAUGCGUAGCCGACCUGAGAGGGUGAUCGGCCACACUGGAACUGAGACACGGUCCAGACUCCUACGGGAGGCAGCAGUAGGGAAUCUUCCGCAAUGGGCGAAAGCCUGACGGAGCAACGCCGCGUGAGUGAUGAAGGUCUUCGGAUCGUAAAACUCUGUUAUUAGGGAAGAACAAAUGUGUAAGUAACUAUGCACGUCUUGACGGUACCUAAUCAGAAAGCCACGGCUAACUACGUG